CACCCGAUAGCACAUGGUGUGCACUUGCUACCUGUUCAGGAUUUCCUGGAAAAUUUGGUAUGCGAGAGUCCCUCGUUCGAUUCGGGGUCGGGUGA